GCCUGGGUGGCUCAGUUGGUUGAGCGUCAGACUUUGGCUCAGGUCACGAUCUCACAGCUCGUGAGUUCGAGCCCCACAUCGGGCU
rnacentral:tRNA from 1 species